rnacentral:rRNA from 1 species
CUCUUGUAAGGUGAAGCCUGCCCAAUGAUUGUUAAUAACUUCAAUAAAAUCAAUUUAAUGGCCGCGGUAACUCUGACCGUGAUAAAGUAGCAUAAUCACUUGUCACUUAAUUAGUGACUGGAAUGAAUGGCUAAACGAAUCCUCCUCUGUCUCUAAGAGAACUCCGGCAAAUUUGAAUUAGUAGUGAAGAUGCUACUAAAUAAUUGUAAGACGAAAAGACCCUAUCGAGCUUUACUGAAAGCUUGUAGAUUUUUACAGAUAUUAACCGCAAAUCUAUACAAACUGCAAGACCGACAGUUUGGUUGGGGCGACCACCCUUAAAAACGUACCAAGGGAACUCUAAAGGCCUUUAUAACAUGAAAAAUAGCCUUACUGGAGACAAACAAGUCAAUCAGUUACAAAUGUAGGACAUAUUGACCCGUUAUUUCUUUCUUAACAAAUAACGAAUACGAAAAAAGUUACCGUAGGGAUAACAGGG